rnacentral:rRNA from 1 species
CCCUAUUAUUUUAGAAUGUUAAUUUUUGUGCCUGAGUAGUAUUAGUUACGUUCUUGAAACUUAAAGAAUUUGGCGGUAUCUCAUUCCGUCCAGAGGAAUCUGUCCCGUUAUCGAUAGUCCACGUUGGACCUUACUUAUUUGAUUUUGGUUUGUAUACCGCCGUUUAUUGAUUAUCUUUUUAGGGGUUAUAUUAAUUUUCUGGUUUCUUUAAUUAGAUGUAUUUCAGGUCAAGGUGCAGCUUGUUUUUAAGUGGAAUGAUGGAUUACAUUGUUAUUUGUUUAUGGAUUGUUGAUUUUAAUAUCGGCAUGAAAUUGGAUUUGGUUGUAAUGAUUUGUAGAUUGUUAUUAUGAUAAUUGGUUCUGAGAUAUGCACACAUCGCCCGUCGCUCUCGUUUGUUAUAUAAUGAGAUAA